ACCCCUGCUUUAUAAGUGAGAAACUGAGGCACUGACCGCACAUUACACAAGUUUUGGGGUGUCCCUGACCUCAGCACUGCCACCAGAUGGGAGUGGUCUGUACUGCCCUGGCUCUCUAGAGAUUCCCACAGAAGCACAGAGAAUGCUUUGAAGAGGAAGACCUUAGAGCAAGAUCUACAUACCAGGAUCUUCUUCCUGCAUUGUUCCUCAGCGGUCCAUCCCGCCCCCAACUCAGCCAUUCAACAACAUUGUAAAUUAUGCCAUGAGGCAAGAAGUCCAGUCUGCUACUUGUUCUCCGUAU